GACAGAGGUGCCAAGCGUUAGGCGGAAUCACUGGGCUUAAAGCGUGUGUAGGCGGCUCGUUAAGUACCUUGUGAAAUCCCACGGCUCAACCGUGGAACUGCUGGGUAUACUGGCGAUCUUGAGCCACCUAGGGGCGAGCGGAACAAGCGGUGGAGCGGUGAAAUGCGUAGAUAUCGCUUGGAACGCCAAUGGUGAAAACAGCUCGCUGGGGGUGUGCUGACGCUGAGACACGAAAGCCAGGGGAGCGAACGGG
rnacentral:rRNA from 1 species